UUUCUCCUCGCCUCCGAAUGGGGGGUCUUAUGUCGGUUUCUCCUCCAAUCAAAUCCAUGGCGGUUGCAGUGUGAUCCCGGUCCGUCUCAGCCGCCUCCGUUUCUUCUCCCUGCGAUGAUGCCUCCCCUUUCGCUCCCGGAAGAGGAACCAGUUGCUAACUAGGUUUUGGGUGUGGUAUCCCCAAGAACCCUUUCUUCAGGCCCUCCAAGUUAUCGGUAACGCCCCCCCGCUCGCUUGCCGCUGCUUCGAGAUAAAAUGCUUCCUGAACAUGCGACUCACGCUCUUCUAGCAGCUAUGAGCAUGCACCCAAGCAAUUUCGGGAGGAAAAUCUCAAAGAGGGAGAUUGGUUAGUUGCUACAUCAAGCAAUGAAGCCAUCAAGGGCUCAGGUGCUCACCUAGGAGCCUAUGCGAGGCGAGGCCCAAGUGGUCAGUAACAGGUCAGGUCCGGGCAGGUGCCCUCAAUUGGGUGUGACCUAGGCAUGCGUCCAGGCACUGACAUAAGGGUGAAAUAUGAGUGGUGGACGAUUUUAAAAAUGUUCCUAAAUACAUUUAUGGCCUUACUGCUUCACAAAUGGACAUGUUCGUGUCCGAAGAUAACCCUGUCAGGCAGCAUGCAGAAAAGUUAGAGAGGAAAUCAUUUCUUCUGCAAGAAAUACCUUGACAAUGGAGGGAUGCACAGUUUAACAGGCAUGAAAGGGUGUGCAUCAAAGUACAGUAUGAGUGUGAGUAUGUAUCGUGUAUGUGCUCGAGGAUAUGGAAGGCCAAGAACUGUUCCUCCAGAUUUACCUUCUAUACUCUUAGAUGCUUGGAUUGUGUAUCUUGGCAUGCCUAUAGUUCCACCUGACACUGAACUAUUUAUCUGGGAUGCAAAAUGAGAAGAUGGAAAGUGUUGGAUCUGAAACCGAGGCUUAUGCAAUUGCUGACGAGGUAGCUGCAAAGGAUCUUUGAUGCCAACACCUACUGUUACAGAUUGCAAAGGACAUCCAGCUUCCGAAAUAUUUCAAGCGCAGGAAGCUAUUGCCUAUGGAACAGCCGACAAGAUCAUCGAAUCACGAUAUGAACGAGACGAGAUGCUUGCACAGUCCAAAGCCAUGAGAAGGGCAGCUGGAACUGGCCCACAAGCAACGCCAUAUGGGUUUAGGUAGAUAGAACUGAUUAGUACAUAAGCAAUAACUUUGGUUGUAUUGUAUAUUUUUCUAGCUGAAACAUUCAUGUUGAUUCUAAUGCCAAAAGACAAUAAUUCUUUUAUUCUUGAA